UUCAAGAGUUCUCUAAUGAGUAUCAUUGAGAGUGAGAAACUCUUAUUGAUACUGUCUUGUACAAACAUACACUCCUGUUGAUUCAGGUAUUCUCUUAGUUCAGUCCAAGUUAAGAUUUGUAACUGUUUAUCUACAUUAUAUAAAAUUGCUUUGUUUUGUAAGUUCUUUACAAGUUUGUUGCAGCUUAGCCUACCAAAUGAAUCCAAGUGCACCAUUGUAGAUAUUUUUUUAAAAGCAGGAUUGAUGAACAACUAAACAAACAAUAUUGUGGAGAUACAUGUGAAUUAUAAUGGAGAUGCCACCAGAUAUUCAAUGCAUUGGAGAGCAGCUCUACUACCAAAGUGGAGAUGUGGAUCACUGGAUGUGGUAUGAGAUAUCUGCAGGAUUGAUGAACAACUAAACAAACAAUAUUGUGGAGAUACAUGUGAAUUAUAAUGGAGAUGCCACCAGCUAUUCAAUGCAUUGGAGAGCAGCUCUACUAACAAAUUGGAGAUGUGGAUCACUGGAUGUGGUAUGAGAUAUCUGUUAUUUAUAUUUUCAGUAGUCUAGACAGGUUAGAAUUCUCUAACACUUCCCUAUUCUAACACAGAUAUCAAGCUAGGGCCGGGAUGUUUAUGGUGGUUACUAUUAUGACACAGUUCAUCCCGACCCCUUCGGCAGUGCCUUGUUCUAUCCGGUUGGUUCUGAGUCCAAUGGAUGCUUUCAAGUUAGAGUCAACUGACCUGCAGAUCGCAUUUCCGCGUGCCAACAACUGGACGAACAUGUGCUACUGUUAGAUUGUGGUUUAUGGAUGGCUGUGGAGUAAGAAAAUCACCUUGAAUAGGGUUUGAGUUGUCAGGGUCCCUGUAGGAUAUUUGCAGUUGUCAGUCGACUAUUACAUUUCUGAUCAGUGCCCUUUGUGGUGGUGCCACAGCUUUUUCAUGAUGGUUGCGGGCUCAGUACAGCACUAAUUUGAUGAGCAGGUGGUACUGUUACACUGUGGCCUGGUCUGACUUGUUCUAUGAGACUGGCGAUGCAAAUAUUAGAUUGUAGUGCCUUCAGCAAACUUAGGGAUGGGGGUGUGAGAAUUAUCUGUCUUAAGAAUUAGAAUUAAGAAAAAUACGUUUAUAUCUGAGGCUGGAGUGAUAUUAAGUAUAGUCUCUAGCCUUUGCUAGUUGGCGGAGUGAAGCCUCUAGCCUUUGCUAGUUGGCGGGGAAGGGGAAAAUAUAGCCUCUAGCCUUUGCUAGUUGGCGGGGUUAAGCCUCUAGCCUUUGCUAGUUGGCGGUGGAUGGGAAAACGAAGCCUCUAGCCUCAUCUAGAGUCUUAAAUUGCAUGCAUUUUAGUUUUAGUAUUUAGAAAAUACAAAUAUAAGUUGAGAAUUAAGAUUGAAGUAUGUGAAAUAUAGCCUCUAGCCUUUGCUAGUUGGCGGGGUUAAGCCUCUAGCCUUUGCUAGUUGGCGGGGUGAAGCCUCUAGCCUUUGCUAGUUGGCGGGGUUAAGCCUCUAGCCUUUGCUAGUUGGCGGGGUGAAGCCUCUAGCCUUUGCUAGUUGGCGGGGUGAAGCCUCUAGCCUUUGCUAGUUGGCGGGGGAUGGGAAAACGAAGCCUCUAGCCUCAUCUAGAGUCUCAAAUUGCAUGCAUUUUAGUUUUAGUAUUUAGAAAAUACAAAUAUAAGUUGAGAAUUAAGAUUGAAGUAUGUGAAAUAUAGCCUCUAGCCUUUGCUAGUUGGCGGGGUUAAGCCUCUAGCCUUUGC